rnacentral:tRNA from 1 species
GAGGGGAUGGCUUAGUGGCAGAGCAUCUGCCUAGCAAGCACAAGGUCCUGGGUUCAAUCCCAGUACCGCCA